rnacentral:other from 1 species
AGACCCCUGCCGUGCUCGUGAUCGGCAGAAGUUUUUUUGAGCCAACACGAACCGAAACGGGAACCUUCUCUUGCUCUGGUGUGCAUAUUCUGUGGCCUACAGAAGAGCCUAAAGGAGCAACGAGGUGCCCACCUGUGCAAACAGGUUCAAAAGAAUCUGCUGACACGGCGUGGUGGGGGUACC